rnacentral:rRNA from 1 species
GACGAACGCUGGCGGCGUGCUUAACACAUGCAAGUCGAACGGGCCCGCCCCUGUUUUUGGGGGUGGGUUGAGUGGCGAACGGGUGAGUAUCACGUGAGUAACCUGCCCCCUGCUCCUGGAUAACUGCUUGAAAGGGCGGCUAAUACGGGGUGUGCCGGCUGGUCCGCAUGGGCCUGGUCGGGAUAGUUUCAUCUUCGGGUGUUUCGGUGGGGGAUGGGCUCGCGGCCUAUCAGCUUGUUGGUGGGGUGAUGGCCCACCAAGGCGGUGACGGGUAGCCGGCCUGAGAGGGUGGGCGGCCACACUGGGACUGAGACACGGCCCAGACUCCUGCGGGAGGCAGCAGUGGGGGGUAUUGCACAAUGGGCGGAAGCCUGAUGCAGCGACGGCGCGUGAGGGAUGGAGGCCUUCGGGUUGUGAACCUCUUUCUCCGGUGGUGAAGGCCCUGUCCGGUGCGGCGGGGUUGACGGUAGCCGGGGAUGAAGCGCCGGCUAACUACGUG